UCUUUCAUGUCUCAGAUGGUAAAGAAUCUGCCUGCAAUGCAGGAGACCCAGGUUUGAUCCCUGGGUUAGGAA
rnacentral:tRNA from 1 species